GUGUCGUCCUACAUAAGGUGGCAGGGGAUAUAUCAGUGAAAGGGGGGUCCAUGAAAAUUACAUAUCUUUAGGACUGUGGUACUGUUUGAUGUGGUCGCAGUUUAAUAGGGAGAACACGUGGACCCCGAGAACGAUUACACGCAUUCAAGACAUCGUUAGCCACAGAAUCACCCAAUCGCACGACACUUUCCAGGUCAGGGUCUGAAUUCAACGGAAUAGAAUCUUGAACUUGUUUCUCUACACAGGGCACAUGCCUGCAGAAACUUUAUAGUUUGGAAAUACUCCUUUUUUGAAAAGUACACCUUUGUUUUUCCUAGCGUGAUUGUUUUUAUAACUGUGCUGUGAUUUCUUAUGGAGUGAUCUAAUUUUGAAUGGUAUUUUAAUGAAUGAAUAUCAAUAUUUGGUGCAUGUAUUAUGUAAUCAUAUGGGAAUAUACAUCUGUAAGACUGAUUGAUAGUGUCAAUAAUCAUUUUAAACAUUUGACAUAUAACUUGUGUGCUUCUCUACUAAAUAGAGUCAAAUGUUGUGAAUAGGAACACUAUUUUUUUGAUUAUUUCUGUUCUGGUUGUUUCCCUUGAAUUGUGUGAAUUUUUGGAAUUACUAUGAAAUACAAACAAAACACAGGAUACAGUUCAGAAAUGUUGCAUUUAAUUCAUUAAACAUUAUAUUUUAAUAUAACAAAAGCUUUUUGUUUUAUUAUGCAUAUAUUAAAAAACUUAAGGUGGCAGGGGAUAUAUCAGUGAAAGGGGGGUCCAUGAAAAUUACAUAUCUUUAGGGUAGGUGUUACCUAUGGUCUUUAAAAAUCAAUUAGGUAUUUAUAAGAUGUAUUUCUUGUGUUAGGUUGUAGAAAGAAUGUCUCAAAAUUUUGGAAAAAAACAUUACAACUAGCCACAGCUCCCUAGCAAGGAAAUUUUGAAUCUUCAAAAAGGAGGUUUUCACUUUUGUCGGAAGUCAAUAUUUCACGCUGCAGAAACAGAACAAAAUUUUGAAGGUAAAUUGUGAAAAAUCUAAACGUAUGGGAGACACUUUUCUAGGCAAAUAAACAAAGCACAGGGAUGAAAUUAAUGAGAAAUGUAGCCAAAACUAGGAUUGCAUUCUGUUUGAAUGUUCUGUGCAUGUCAUGAAAUGGGUCAAAUUUCUCAAUUUUUCAUUAAAAAUGAGGUGGGUGGGGGGAAAGAUCAAGGGCCAUAGUUUCACAAGUGAAGAAGCCAGCCUUGUCUUUGGUUGUAUUUUCAAUGUAUAUUGCCUAUGCUAUGACACUGACACAAAAAGGCUUUCUUGUGUCACUUUCUGUUUUGAUGCAAUGGAUUUGACUGUUUGCGGCCUUGCGGAACUCGAAA